UGUCCUCUAGUCCUGGCACACUGCUAAACAGUUGAGGGCAUUGAGGCCCAGAGAAGACAAGGAAUUUGGGGAAGGUGAUAGCUUAUAGACCCAUUGCCUGGUUUUAGAAUCCAUGGGUCAACACCCCAUUUUGUUAGAUGAGAUUGGUUUAGUUCAAUGUCCUGGUUGGUAUGAGAGGCAAUCCAGCCUAGUGGAAAGAGUUUGGCUGUUGAGUUAGACAAAAUCUAGCCCCACCAUGUACCAGUUGGAGCACUAGGCAAUAUGCUUCAACCAUCUUGGCUUUGGGCUCUUCCAUACAACGGAGUUUUCACUUCUGUCUCAUCUCUAGGAGACUUCAUAUUGCAGAGUUGCAGAAUGAGAACUGGGAGACACACAUGUCCCACAUGGUGUCUUCAUUUUUUUGCUUUUAAUUGAAUUUGUUGCAGACAUUUAACAAUUUAUAUAAACCCUGAUGUCUAGCUCCUCUUGGCAAGUCAGAAGUCCUGGCAGCACCCGUUAGCAGGAGCAAACAGCUGCCCCCUUGGAUGGAAGACAAGCCUCCCAAUGUGGCACAGUCCCCUCCUUUCUCCGUUCUUUUCUUACAGCUGGUCUGCUUCGCUCCUUGACCCACCUACCUGACCUCAGUAAGCAUGUCCAUUUUCAGGGCCUCCUGCGGAGAUGAGAGCCAUGGGAUUGUUUUCUCCAGACAGAUGACUUUUUCCUGUUAGCUUCACAGGAGAUUUAGGAGGCACGAGGAUAGUAAGAUGAAAAUGGAGCAAUAUGGGUACAGCAACAUAGAUGCUGCAACUUCCCGAGUCACCUCUGCCCCAGCACAAGGCAGAAAGAAGAGGGAGAGGUUUUCAGAUUUUAUGGUGCUAUUGUCCAGACCACUCUCAAGGAUCAUGGGAUCCCCUACGUGCCAUAUCCUUUGCAGGUAGUAGCCACAUCUAGCACAAUGUUGUAAAUCCCUAGAAUGAGAGGAAAUCCAUGGGCUCUCCAUUAGAAAAGACAUACAAAUAAUUAAUAAUUAAUAAUGAUGAUAAUGAUAAUAAUGAGAGGAAACAGGAUAAAUAAAUUUUAGAAAAAAGUCAAAUUUUUUAAAAGCCAAAAACAAAGGCAAUGAGAAAGGGAGCAGAAAGAAGGUAACAAAAACCAUUGGCAUCACAUGUCCUCUGAAAUAGGGACAAAAUGUGGGGAAAAUAGGGUGUCUGGGGAACUGAGCUUGAAUUGGGGGACUUCAUAUGGACUUUUCAUGUUCUGGGCUUGGGACAGGUGCUUGAGACUGAACUUUUGGGUGCUAAUGUCAGGGGAAGCUCCAGAAUUUUUCUUACCAACUAGAAAAUGUUGCGAAGAAAGUCUACACAUAAUAAUAUAGUAGAACCUAGAGAGUUUACAUGUAAUAUUUGUUUUGACCAUUGAAUUAUAAGGAUCCAUGAUAGGCAGAAGAUCUUUUGCUCAGGAAAGGAUCAUAAUUGAGGGUUUAAAGCUGGUAGACAAGAAAAACUCAUUCACUCACUCAUUUAUUCAUUUUUUGAAAAACACUUAUUGACCACCUACUAAGUCCCAGGUCCUACAUCAGGUACUGAGUUUAUAUCUAUGAACAAGACAUAGUCUAGAUACUCAAGAUGGCUCACCUUCUAGAGAGAGAGAGAACCAUCAACAGAUGAGCAUUCCUUAUGCAGACUGAUGAGAUGUGAGAUAGGAGAAGUAUAAAGUUCUGAGAACACACUGGGGAGGAGCACCAACUCAGCCAUGAGAGUACCUUGGUAGGUGAAGUGGAGUGUUUGAUGCCAGGAACACACUUUGAUUAACUUUCGUUGUUCUCAAUAGUUAACAUACAUAUAAUGAAGUAAUUAAAAAGGUCUGUGUGUGUGUGUGUGUGUGUGUGCGUGUGUGUAUGCAUGUAAAAAAUUAUCCAGAACUAGGGCGCCUGGGUAGUACAGCCAGCUAGGCGUCUUACUCUUGGUCUUGGCUGAAGUCAUGAUCUCGGGGUCGUGAGAUCAAGUCCUGCAUCAGGUUCUUCACUGAGCAUGGAGUCUGCUUAAGACUCCAUCUCCCUCUGCCCCUCUCCCUCUCUCAAAUAAAUAAAUAAAAUCUUUAAAAUAUACAUAUUUAAAAAAUGAUCCAGAACAGAAAGAUAAGUAUUGAUAUGGUGGUAUUUAAAUACUUGAGAAUUCUAGUAGUUCUCUUAUUAUAUCUUUAUAAAUGUCAUGCAUUUAAUUAGCAACUAUGGAGUAGGAAUUGACACAGCAGGUCUGGUUGUUGAGUCAUUACAUGUUCAGGGAAGCCUGGAACCAUGACUGACCCUUGGGCAACUCCUUGUGUUCCCUGUGUUACUGAAUGACGAUGUUGUGUAUGUCCAGGUAAAGGAGGCAUACUGUACCAGCUAGUCAAGACUUUGAAUGAUUAUUUAGCAAGAGUCACAAUGUAUCUGGAUUCAUUAUUGGGGGAGUUUUGUUAGCAUGGAUAGCUGCACAGAAGUAUGUGCCUAUAUGAUUAGCCCUCCUUGAAAGCUUCAUAUCCUGAUAUUGUAAUGGCCUUCCCUGGGCAGAGGCAUUCUACACGUUACUGUAGUUUAUUUCUAGAGAAAAAAUAUAGACUGCAUGGCCCCAGAUGGGGCAGGACUCAGAAGCCUAUGUCUCACAUCCCUGGGCUCCCCCAAAGUGUAUCCUUAUCCUCUUGCCUUUGCUCUGAAUUUUUGCUAUAAUAAACCUUAGCUGUAAGAAUAAGUGAGUCUGGGCAGCCCGGGUGGCUCAGCGGUUUUGCACCUGCCUUCGGCCUGGGGCGUGGUCCUGGAGACCUGAGAUGGAGUCCCACGUCAGGUCCUCCCUGCAUGGAGCCUGCUUCUCCCUCUGCCUGUGUCUCUGCCUCUCUCUCUCCGUGUCUCUCAUGAGUAAAUAAAUAAAAUCUUUAAAUAAAAAAAAUAAGUGAGUCCUUAUAGCAAGUCACCAAACUUAAGUUGGUCAUGGUCUGCUGAAAUAGCCUAAAAGAUAUACUGAGCAGCAUUAUGAUUCAGAGAAGCCAUAUGAUAGUUAAGGUAGGGUGAGGAAAGAUGAGGGUAUUAGGUGUUGCUUUUUACUUUAUUAUUUUCAACUAGGAGAAAUAUAAAGUUCUUUUAUUGUUUUAAAUCAAAUUCAAUCUUCUUGAAAUCUUCACUCAUCCAGGUAAAUGCAAAUUCUAAUAUUUAUCAUGACAGGCUGCUUUGUAUCUUAGGGUCAUAGAAGAGUCUUGGGGUCUAAACCAGUCCAGAGUUCUGAGAAAAGCCUUUGACCUUUAGUCAACACUAAUUAUUGAUGGCCUGCUCAUUGUCUAUGAAUGUAGACAGCUCCACUGUCCUCUGCCAAACCAGGGAACAGAAAUGUCUGCUCAAACACUGUCCAACAUGUGUAAGCAACCAAGAAACCACUCCCCUUGAGAUUCUGACUUCUCCUUAGAGUCUCUCAUGGUGAGGUUUGCAUCACUGCUUAUAGGACUUGCAGAAUCUUGCCUUCUCUCAAGAAAACUCCUUCUCCAACCCCAUUGGGAUGUAUGAUUUUAUUCAUCCCAACCCUUGGAUCUCCCCCACCCUGGAAAACUUACCUCUGACUUGCACAGAUGAAGCUUCCAAUAACAAAAACCACCUUAGAGAGAGAUUGUUUUCUAGGGGUCUGGUAACAUCUGCUUUGGGCCCUGUCACAGAAGCCACUAAUAAAUAUUUCAGUCAAGGUAAUAGAAAGUUUUAGCUUCCUUCUUGGGAUGUAAAGGAGGAAUAACUUACAUCAGAAAAGACAAUAUAGAAAUGAAUCUUACUGCAAAUUAGCUUGUACACUGGGGAUACUCAGUCUCUACUUAAUAGAGGAAAUUAGUCUAGUGGACAAAUUACUCCAGCACAAAGUUAAGGGCUAAUGCAAGUGUCAUAACAAAGGUGUAUACACACUAAAAGCAGUAUAGGGAACAGGAGGGUUUGGGGGACAUUGUGGAGGUGCUACUGUAAUGGAACUCAAUGGGUAGGUUGGACUUGGACCAAGAGAGGCCACUUACUGUCACUGUCCAAACCCACCCAAGAAUCCACAGUUCAAGUCACGGGACCAAAAACAGUUACCAUCAACUAAAAUCAAAUGUUUAUUUCCU